UAGGGAAUCUUCCACAAUGGGCGAAAGCCUGAUGGAGCAACGCCGCGUGUGUGAUGAAGGGUUUCGGCUCGUAAAACACUGUUGUAAGAGAAGAAUGACAUUGAGAGUAACUGUUCAAUGUGUGACGGUAUCUUACCAGAAAGGAACGGCUAAAUACGUGCCAGCAGCCGCGGUAAUACGUAUGUUCCAAGCGUUAUCCGGAUUUAUUGGGCGUAAAGCGAGCGCAGACGGUUAUUUAAGUCUGAAGUGAAAGCCCUCAGCUCAACUGAGGAAUUGCUUUGGAAACUGGAUGACUUGAGUGCAGUAGAGGAAAGUGGAACUCCAUGUGUAGCGGUGAAAUGCGUAGAUAUAUGGAAGAACACCAGUGGCGAAGGCGGCUUUCUGGACUGUAACUGACGUUGAGGCUCGAAAGUGUGGGUAGCAAACA
rnacentral:rRNA from 3 species